UUGAACGCUGGCGGCAUGCUUUACACAUGCAAGUCGAACGGUAACAGGCCGCAAGGUGCUGACGAGUGGCGAACGGGUGAGUAAUGCAUCGGAACGUGCCCAGUCGUGGGGGAUAACUACUCGAAAGAGUAGCUAAUACCGCAUACGAUCUAUGGAUGAAAGCGGGGGACCGUAAGGCCUCGCGCGAUUGGAGCGGCCGAUGUCAGAUUAGGUAGUUGGUGGGGUAAAGGCUCACCAAGCCAACGAUCUGUAGCUGGUCUGAGAGGACAACCAGCCACACUGGGACUGGGACACGGCCCAGACUCCUACGGGAGGCAGCAGUGGGGAAUUUUGGACAAUGGGCGCAAGCCUGAUCCAGCAAUGCCGCGUGCAGGAAGAAGGCCUUCGGGUUGUAAACUGCUUUUGUACGGAACGAAACGGCUCUGGUUAAUACCCGGGGCUAAUGACGGUACCGUAAGAAUAAGCACCGGCUAACUACGUG
rnacentral:rRNA from 1 species